rnacentral:miRNA from 1 species
GUACUCUACGCUUUUGGGAACG